CGGGAUAUUUAGAAGAGAGUA
rnacentral:tRNA from 1 species